rnacentral:rRNA from 1 species
AGAGUUUGAUCCUGGCUCAGAAUCAACGCUGGCGGCGUGCCUAACACAUGCAAGUCGAACGCGAAAGUGGAGCAAUCCAUGAGUAGAGUGGCAAACGGGUGAGUAACACGUGGGUGACCUGCCUUCGAGCGGGGGAUAACGUCCCGAAAGGGACGCUAAUACCGCAUGACAUCCUGUCUUUUAAGAGAUGGAGAUCAAAGCUGGGGAUCGCAAGACCUAGCACUCGAAGAGGGGCCCGCGCCUGAUUAGCUAGUUGGUGAGGUAACGGCUCACCAAGGCGACGAUCAGUAUCCGGCCUGAGAGGGCGGACGGACACACUGGGACUGAGACACGGCCCAGACUCCUACGGGAGGCAGCAGUGGGGAAUUGUUCGCAAUGGGCGCAAGCCUGACGACGCAACGCCGCGUGGAGGAUGAAGAUCUUCGGGUCGUAAACUCCUUUCGAUCGAGACGAACGGCUUCCGGGUGAACAAUCCGGGAGAGUGACGGUACCGAGAGAAGAAGCCCCGGCUAACUCCGUGCCAGCAGCCGCGGUAAUACGGGGGGGGCAAGCGUUGUUCGGAAUUACUGGGCGUAAAGGGCUCGUAGGCGGCCAACUAAGUCAGACGUGAAAUCCCUCGGCUUAACCGGGGAACUGCGUCUGAUACUGGAUGGCUAGAGGUUGGGAGAGGGAUGCGGAAUUCCAGGUGUAGCGGUGAAAUGCGUAGAUAUCUGGAGGAACACCGGUGGCGAAGGCGACAUCCUGGACCAAUUCUGACGCUGAGGAGCGAAAGCCAGGGGAGCAAACGGGAUUAGAUACCCUAGUAGUCC